UGCGUAGGCGGUUUGGUAAGUCAGAUGUGAAAUUCCUGGGCUCAACCGAGGAACUGCAUUUGAUACUGCCAGACUAGAGUACUGGAGAGGAGACUGGAAUUUACGGUGUAGCAGUGAAAUGCGUAGAUAUCGUAAGGAAGGCCGGUGGCGAAGGCGAGUCUUUGGACAGUAACUGACGCUGAGGCACGAAGGCUAGGGGAGCAAACG
rnacentral:rRNA from 1 species